AUAGAAUAACCCACGAGGUACGAGUGAUUACGGAAAAUAUGUCACGAGUGAAAUUAAUGUUUUAAGUUCCGAGCUUUAGCGAGGAACUUAAAAGAUUAAUUUCACGAGUGACAUAUUUUCCGUAAUCACUCGUACCUCGUGGGUUAUUCUAUUUAUUACCCAUAGUCAUAUUAAAGACAUGUUUCAAGAAAAAAACAAUGAACUGUCGCCGAUCAAGAAACAGCUGUUUUGUAUCAAUCCGCGUGUGAAAAAACACUGUCCACUCACUCCAGCCGCAUUACUCAAUCAACAACGUCUUGCUACGCGUAAAAAUAUAGUUCUGUUAACAAAACUUGAAAGAUCACAUUAUUGCAGUUAUAUUUCUGUCUGAGUUAUACAGCGUACACUAUCUACCAUUGAUAAAAGAAGACAAUUUCCAAAAAAGGUUCAACAGGCUUUUUAAUCAAGGCUUGUUUUGACAAGACCUCUCAUUGACAAGACAAUAGCCGUCGUGCAUCACCAUGGACAUGAAUUUUUACAUUGAGAAGAGGAAACACGGAAAACCUGUCAAUUUUUUCAUGUGUCAUUCGGUAAAAAUGCAAAAACCUGUAUCAACAACAUAGAAGGAAUGUACGGAAGUCAUGUUUGAUUGAGAAAAGUUACGACAAGUAGGUAAACUUUGAAAAAUACGAUUGCUGUCAGUGUCGGAAAGAAUGACCCGACUUGACCCAGAUAUGAGACAGCCGAAACCAGGAAUGACAAGAGAACCGGCGUUACAGUUUAAUCCGGACAACAAGUUUAAUGAACAUCGUUUGUGAUUUGAGACAAGUGUGACUGAUGGGAAACAUGUGCAUGUGGGAUUUUAGGAGGACUUGUCUGAGUCAAACGCGCUUGUGGAGUGGACACAGUCAGAUAACGGGAGUUUGUUGAUAUUUUGAUGUGAUUCAUAAUAUGGUCGAAUACCUGUUGAUAGACUAACACGGUAUCUGGAGACUUGGUGACAAGCUGUCCGCAUUCACGGAGUUCAUUUAGUUCAAUGUCGGACACAGGAUCACCUCGCUGGGUUAUCGAUGUCAUCAUCGUUCACAAAGGCAAACCUGUCUAUACAAAGUCCGGUUUUGGGGAUUCGUGUGGUCGAAAGAUUCGCCAAACAGCAAGUCCUCUAACACAGACGCAAAUCCGGACUUGGUGGUGUUGAGUUUUAGCGCACUAGAAACAGUUUCUGGCAACAUCACAAUCUGAAACUUGGAACUUCAAUCUGGCCAUAUGCAGUUUUGACAACAAAGACAUGAAAUGUGUUCAGAGGUUGAAUUAUGCGAAUAACUCUUCCUGUCAGAUCUCCGUCUACUUUAACGAGGUCAUUUAGUUUGACAGGUGUCAAAUGGUCAGCCAUGUUUGUUUACAAACAAUGCAGACGUAGUUUUGUUUUUUGUAAUUACGCUUAUUGUAAACUAAAACUCGUGCGAAAUAAAUGCUUUAUUCAUUA